rnacentral:rRNA from 1 species
AACGAACGCUGGCGGCAGGCCUAACACAUGCAAGUCGAACGAGAAGCCACCUUCGGGUGGUGGACAGUGGCAGACGGGUGAGUAACGCGUGGGAACGUGCCUUUCGGUUCGGAAUAACCCAGGGAAACUUGGGCUAAUACCGGCUACGCCCUUCGGGGGAAAGAUUCAUUGCCGAAAGAUCGGCCCGCGUCGGAUUAGCUAGUUGGUGGGGUAAUGGCCCACCAAGGCGACGAGCCGUAGCUGGUCUGAGAGGAUGACCAGCCACACUGGGACUGUGACACGGCCCAGACUCCUACGGGAGGCAGCAGUGGGGAAUAUUGGACAAUGGGCGAAAGCCUGAUCCAGCCAGGCCGCGUGGGUGAAGAAGGCCCUAGGGUUGUAAAGCUCUUUUAACGGGGAAGAUAAUGACGGUACCCGUAGAAUAAGCCCCGGCUAACUUCGUGCCAGCCGCCGCCGUAAAAC